AGAGUUUGAUCAUGGCUCAGGAUGAACGCUAGCGGCAGGCCUAACACAUGCAAGUCGGACGGUAACAUGAGGUGCUUGCACUUUGAUGACGAGUGGCGCACGGGUGCGCAACGCGUAUAGAACCUACCCUGUACAGGGGGAUAGCCCAGAGAAAUUUGGAUUAAUACCCCGUGGUAAAUAUAAAUGGCAUCGUUUAUAUUUUAAAGUUUUCGGACGGUACAGGAUGGCUAUGCGUCCUAUUAGUUAGAUGGUGAGGUAACGGCUCACCAUGGCAGCGAUAGGUAGGGGCCCUGAGAGGGGGAUCCCCCACACUGGUACUGAGACACGGACCAGACUCCUACGGGAGGCAGCAGUGAGGAAUAUUGGACAAUGGGCGCAAGCCUGAUCCAGCCAUGCCGCGUGCAGGAAGACGGCCCUAUGGGUUGUAAACUGCUUUUAUACGGGAAGAAUAAGGGACACGUGUGUCCUGGUGACGGUACCGUAAGAAUAAGGACCGGCUAACUCCGUGCCAGCAGCCGCGGUAAUACGGAGGGUCCGAGCGUUAUCCGGAAUUAUUGGGUUUAAAGGGUCCGCAGGCGGGCAAUUAAGUCAGGGGUGAAAUGGUGCGGCUCAACCGUAGCACUGCCCUUGAUACUGGUUGUCUUGAGUCAUAGUGAAGUGGCCGGAAUAUGUAGUGUAGCGGUGAAAUGCAUAGAUAUUACAUAGAACACCGAUUGCGGAGGCAGGUCACUAACUAUCGACUGACGCUGAUGGACGAAAGCGUGGGGAGCGAACGGGAUUAGAUACCCCGGUAGUCCACGCCGUAAACGAUGGAUACUAGCUGUCCGCUACCUUGAGUAGUGG
rnacentral:rRNA from 1 species